rnacentral:rRNA from 1 species
CCUACGGGAGGCAGCAGUGAGGAAUAUUGGUCAAUGGACGGAAGUCUGAACCAGCCAUGCCGCGUGCAGGAAGACGGCUCUAUGAGUUGUAAACUGCUUUUGUACAAGGGUAAGCCUGAAUACGUGUAUUCAGCUGAAAGUACUCUACGAAAAAACAUCGGAUAACUCCCUGCCAGCAGCCCCGGUAAUACGGGGGAUGCGAGCGUUAUCCGGAUUUAUUGGGUUUAAAGGGUGCGUAGGGGGCCUGUUAAGUCAGCGGUAAAAGCCCGGGGCCCAACCCCGGCGAGCCGUUGAAACUGGCGUGCUGGAGUUGGAGAGAAGUACGCGGAAUGCGCGGUGUAGCGGUGAAAUGCUUAGAUAUCGCGCAGAACUCCGAUUGCGAAGGUAGCGUACCGGCGCCACACUGACGCUGAGGCACGAAAGCGUGGGUAUCGAACAGGAUUAGAUACCCUUGUAGUC